rnacentral:rRNA from 1 species
UACGUAGGUGGCAAGCGUUAUCCGGAUUUACUGGGCGUAAAGCGCACGUAGGCGGUUUGUUAAGUCAGGGGUGAAAUCCCGGAGCUCAACUCCGGAACUGCCUUUGAUACUGGCAAGCUAGAGUCCGGAAGAGGUGAGUGGAACUCCUAGUGUAGAGGUGGAAUUCGUAGAUAUUAGGAAGAACACCAGUGGCGAAGGCGGCUCACUGGUCCGGUACUGACGCUGAGGUGCGAAAGCGUGGGGAGCAAACAGG